GGUCGUGUGGUGUAGUGGUAUUAUCAUGUUUCCUUUACAACGUCGAUAACGUUCGUAUAUCGGAAAAGGUCGCAGGUUCGAACCCUGCCACGAUCA